ensembl:lncRNA
AUCUUCCCAACCCAGGGAUCAAACUCAGGUCUCCCGCAUUGCAGGUGGAUUCUUUACCUGAGUCCCUUGGACUGCAAGGAGAUCAAACCAGUCAAUCCUAAAGGAAAUCAGUCCUGAAUAUUCAUUGGAAGGACUGAUGCUGAAGCUGAAACUCCAAUAUUUUGGCCACCUGAUGCGAAGAACUGCCUCAUUUGAAAAGACCCUGUUGCUGGGAAAGAUCGAAGGCAGGAGGAAAAGGGGACGACAGAGGAUGAGAUGGUUGGAUGGUAUCACUGACUCGAUGGACAUGAGUCUGAACAAGCUCCAGGAGUUGGUGAUGGACAUGAAGGCCUGGUGUGCUGCAGUCAGUCCAUGGGGUUUUGAGGAGUCGGACCCGACUGAACAACUGAACUGAACUGAUAGCAUGAGACACUGGGAAAUUUCUCUAAAGUAUGAAAAACCUCCUCUCUUCUGCUGCCAUCGAGUCUGAAGUGAUGGAAAGCUUUGCAUUAAGAAGAGCAGUGCCAAGUUCUCAGGUUGACAAUGGUUUCUACCAAUUAGACCUGAAAAAGAUACAACUGACUUAAAGCUUUCUGGCUUAUGAAGUCCUGUGAGUAAAGACUGGGGCUGAAUCUGGUAGCAGAGCAGAAGAAAAAGCCAUACCCCUGCAAGGGGAUGUUGUAAUUGAGAAAGAAAAAUGAGGAUUCUGGCAGAAGAAGCAGUUUCUAAAGCUUGAAGUGAACUGAAAACUUUGCCUAAACUCUGACUCUGGGCCCAAUCACUGUCAGUAUUAACAGCAGAAUAUUUCUGCAGCUUCUCCGGGAAUAGAAGGCGGCAGUACAGUAACAGGAGAGGGGCAGGCUUUGGGGACUGCAAGAGAGGCAUUUAAGGUGUAGAAGACAACUCCGACCCUACAUUGAUCAUGGAUGUUCUGCUUCUAAAGAUGAGUGAGCCAGCCAAGCUGUAAGGCUAAUCACCCUGGGCAAGUAUGAAUUUAUCUAAAGAGGAUUUCAUGUGGAACCCCCUGAGCCGGCCGCCAAACGGAUGACUGCACACUUUAAGAAAGUUAGUGGGCCUUCUCCCAAUCAACUGUCAGGCGACAUAAAAGGUUUGGAACGCGCUGACUUAAGCAAACGAUAUUUAGCCAUCUAAGGAGAUCAGAAGGCCCAAGAUUUUGCUUUGUUGGAGCUGACAGGAAAUAUUGAUACGUAUCAAGUAACACUCCUGAUGCAAAAGGGAAGAUGUGAUUCUUUUCGGCACUAUCUCUAUUUACAAAACUGUCUUGUGCUUUGGAAAGAAGGUGGGGGCAGGGGAAAUGCCAAAACCAACACUUCACUUGGGACUUUGCCAGCUUUCCUGGGACCGCAAUGUAGUGAAAAUAGGAAUCAAACUACAUCAGCUUUUUUUUUUUUUUUUUUAAACAAAAGGUGUUGGAAUUGGAAUCUGCAGACUCUCUGAAUGUCUAGCUGAUGGGUGGACCUCGUCCAUCACCCCAAAUCUAUCCCUUGAGUUGAUUAACUUAGAAAG